UAGGGAAUCUUCCACAAUGGACGAAAGCCUGAUGGAGCAACGCCGCGUGAGUGAAGAAGGUUUUCGGAUCGUAAAGCUCUGUUGUUGGUGAAGAAGGAUAGAGGCAGUAACUGGUCUUUAUUGACGGUAUCAACCAGAAAGUCACGGCUAACUACGUGCCAG
rnacentral:rRNA from 1 species